AGUAGACAACCUCUCCCACUAAUUGUGUAUUAGCAACGUAUUUUAUCUUGAGAGCUUGUACACUGGGCUCUCAACGUGGUGUGGAAGGUAGCCUGUUACAGUGCUGGAUUCAUAAAAGGGCCUUUAUGGUUUGUGAAAGAAUAUCUGUGUGCUUAGGGAGGAAACUUUUUGAUCUGCAGAAAAGCCAGAAGACAUCUAGGACAUCCAUAAAAAUUCAUCAGAGAGCAUUUUACUACUGAGCUGCAAAGGGAAAAACUUAAAAUGGAUAUGAAAAGUGAAGAAAGUGAUCAUAGGAGAAAACCAUUUCAGGUGUCUGAUGAUUUGUGAGCCUCAAGUGACUACUCUGUGGAAUCAUCUGUCCUUGCCUUUGAAUUAGCUUUCCCUAGGCCAUGAGUCAACAUUAGUAGUUUAUACAUCCAAAUUGAUGACAAGAGCACCUCAAAGGCAGCAGCCUCAAGGAGCAGCCAUGGCCCCAGACUUGUCGCACGGAUGCAGAAAACUUAAUGGAGGAGGCUGAGGAACUCUUCCAGACUCUGGGAAAUAUGUCUCCAAGAAAGCAGACAAUACCCCUGCCCUCUGUGGAAGACUGACAAAUAUACAAGUGCAUAUGUAUAUAUAGACUGUCAGAUGAUGUAAGUAUGAUGAAGAAAAUGAAAGCCAUGUAAUGGGUGAUGGAGCGGGGCAUAGAAAGGUGCCAUUUGCUAUUUUAUAGAAGUAGAUCAGGGAAGACCAUGUCAUGGUAGAUAUCUGAGCAGAGACCAUUCCAGGUGUGGGAGCAUGUCAGAGAGGUAUCCAGGGGCAACAGUUCCAGGCAGAGAAAGCAUGAAGAGCAAGGUGCCCAAGGCCAGAGCAUGUGUGCUUGGCAUUUUCCAGGAGCAGCAAGGAAUUUAGUGUGGCUGAAGGAGAAUGAGCAAGGGAGAAAGCAGCAGGAGAGUGCACAUGAAGCCCUGUGUGCCAUUACGAAGACUCUGCUUUUUUUUUUUUUUUGAGUCGGAGUCUUGCUCUUCCGCCCAGGCCGGAGUGCAGUGGCGCGAUCUCGGCUCACUGCAAGCUCCGCCUCCCGGGUUCACGCCAUUCUCCUGCCUCAGCCUCCCGAGUAGCUGGGACUACAGGCGCCUGCCACCUCGCCUGGCUAAUUUUUUGCAUUUUUUUUAGUAGAGACGGGGUUUCACAGUGUUAGCCAGGAUGGUCUCGAUCUCCUGACCUCGUGAUCCGCCUGCCUCGGCCUCCCAAAGUGCUCACCCUCCCUACCUUUAGCGUCUGCCUCACCUCUUGUCUCUGUGUUCCUCUAUACCUGUGCUGUCUUGUAUGGUCACCACUAGCCACAUGUGUCUACUGAGAACUUGGAAUGGGGCUAGCCCAAAUGGACAAUAUGAGAAAAAUGUAAAAUAUCUCAAUACUUUUCGUAUUGUUUCAUACGUUGAAAUACAAAUAGUUUGAAUAUAUUUGAUUAAGAAAAA
rnacentral:lncRNA from 1 species